rnacentral:rRNA from 1 species
UAGGGAAUAUUAGUAAUGGGCGAAAGCCUGAACUAGCAACGCCGCGUGUGCGAAGAAGGCCUUCGGGUUGUAAAGCACUUUUUGAGAGGAUGAGGAAGGACGGUACUCUCAGAAUAAGUCUCGGCGAACUACGUGCCAGCAGCCGCGGUAACACGUAGGAGGCGAACGUUAUCCGGAUUUACUGGGCGUAAAGCGCGUGUAGGUGGUUUGGUAAGUAGGGCGUGAAAGCUCCUGGCUCAACUGGGAGAGGCCGUUCUAAACUGCCGAACUAGAGGAUGGUAGAGGGAGGUGGAAUUCCGGGUGUAGCGGUGGAAUGCGCAGAUAUCAGGAGGAACACCAGUGGCGACAGCGGCCUCCUGGACCAUUCCUGACACUCAGACGCGAAAGCUAGGGUAGCAAACGG